UAUUUUAAAGGGUACCCCGAUUACUGUC
rnacentral:piRNA from 1 species